GGAUUGGUUAGUGGUGUCCCCCUUUAAUAUAAACGUGACUCAUCUUGUUUUGAACGCAAUGGGGCAGUCAUUUGAAAUUCUCUGUUUGUAAGCAAGUUUGAGCUAUCCGUUUUUUUUUCUGAUGAACGAAGUGGAAGUUCCACGUUGCCGAAAUCAAUUAACUGUCGGACACUCCUUGCUGGAAAGGUAUUACCAUUGAAAUUUUAAGUGUUAGAAACUGCUUAUGAUUUGUGAACUUCUGAAGACAAUGCCAGCCCUAUUGGGCUUGGAUUUGGAAAUUGAAAAUUAUCAACAUAAGUACAAGUUUUUCUUUGGAUCUGUCUUCAUGGAAUUUUUUUGAAUAAUCAACCAUGAGCAUUAAGAAGAUGCCUCCUAGAUCAGUUGGUAGAGCAGGUAUAAUGAGCUUCUCAUUUGGCGAGGGUUCAAACCCCAUCCCCUUUCCCCUCGGAUAGCAUAGAUUAGGAUUUUCUUGGUUCAAAUUAAAAGAACAAAAACAAAGAGAAUUAAGGGGCCUAACUAUGGACCUCAUUUACUUUAGAUUUAAUUUUCAGUAAGGAAUAUCUAAAUCAUCUAUUCAGAACAUGGGUUUGGUACAAAGAUAUCUGGACUAAAUUUGGUAUUAUGCAAGUUGUCCAGACUAAUCAGAAUAUCCCAUGGAUUAUUGGUGUGUGAACAGUCUCAAGAAAGUUUCUCUAAGUCUCAUGAAACAUUAGAUAAACAGCAUGGUGCAGCUGGGUGCAGCCGAGUUUUCAGAGAAAAGGAGGUGAUUCGGGGGUCAGGCUACUUCAACGCUUGCCGAAUAGCUCUCCUUUUGAAGCAGAAUUAUGGAGCAUCCUGAAUGGGCUUACCUCUAUCAAGCAGCAAGAUUAGAAAGAAUGUUAAAAUAGAGUCCGGUUGCUCGCAUCGUGGCUGUGAAGAUGGAGGCUGAUAGAUCAUGUGACAUU